GAUGAACGCUGGCGGCGUGCCUAAUACAUGCCAGUCGAGCGAACAGACGAGGAGCUUGCUCCUCUGACGUUAGCGGCGGACGGGUGAGUAACACGUGGAUAACCUACCUAUAAGACUGGGAUAACUUCGGGAAACCGGAGCUAAUACCGGAUAAUAUAUUGAACCGCAUGGUUCAAUAGUGAAAGACGGUUUUGCUGUCACUUAUAGAUAGAUCCGCGCCGCAUUAGCUAGUUGGUAAGGUAACGGCUUACCAAGGCAACGAUGCGUAGCCGACCUGAGAGGGGGAUCGGCCACACUGGAACUGAGACACGGUCCAGACUCCUACGGGAGGCAGCAGUAGGGAAUCUUCCGCAAUGGGCGAAAGCCUGACGGAGCAACGCCGCGUGAGUGAUGAAGGUCUUCGGAUCGUAAAACUCUGUUAUUAGGGAAGAACAAAUGUGUAAGUAACUAUGCACGUCUUGACGGUACCUAAUCAGAAAGCCACGGCUAACUACGUG
rnacentral:rRNA from 1 species